rnacentral:lncRNA from 1 species
UACAACCUGAAGGAUGCGAAAUCGGAUAACGCAGUGUGGUAUACACACAGAAAAAAAGAUUACCUAUGCGCACCACAAAGCUUUGCACGUAUAAUCGUAUGAACAGUUGAGCUUAUAAAAGAAGAAUGCUGACACAGGAGAUGGAUGAGAUACAGUGAACGGACAAAACACAGAUGUCAGAUAGUUGGAGAUGAACGUCAAUAUAACGAACAUUAUGUUACAUACCAGAGAUGGGCAGUUCAAAGUAACUGAAGGGCCAAUUUAUAGAGCUUUAAAAUUUGGAAGGUCAGAACA